rnacentral:miRNA from 1 species
UGAUUGGGCCAGCAGACAAGAAAAUUUUUCUUUGUGUUAAAGUCAUUAAAUGACUUUAACACAAAGAAAAAUUUUCUUGUCUGUUCCAAUC